UAGCGGCGGACGGGUGAGUAAUACUUAGGAAUCUGCCUAUUAGUGGGGGACAACAUUUCGAAAGGAAUGCUAAUACCGCAUACGCCCUACGGGGGAAAGCAGGGGAUCACUUGUGACCUUGCGCUAAUAGAUGAGCCUAAGUCAGAUUAGCUAGUUGGUGGGGUAAAGGCCUACCAAGGCGACGAUCUGUAACGGGUCUGAGAGGAUGAUCCGUCACACUGGGACUGAGACACGGCCCAGACUCCUACGGGAGGCAGCAGUGGGGAAUAUUGGACAAUGGGGGGAACCCUGAUCCAGCCAUGCCGCGUGUGUGAAGAAGGCCUUUUGGUUGUAAAGCACUUUAAGCGAGGAGGAGGCUCUUUAAGUUAAUACCUAGGAUGAGUGGACGUUACUCGCAGAAUAAGCACCGGCUAACUCUGUGCCAGCAGCCGCGGUAAUACAGAGGGUGCAAGCGUUAAUCGGAUUUACUGGGCGUAAAGCGUGCGUAGGUGGUCUUUUAAGUCGGAUGUGAAAUCCCUGAGCUUAACUUAGGAAUUGCAUUCGAUACUGGGAGACUAGAGUAUGGGAGAGGAUGGUAGAAUUCCAGGUGUAGCGGUGAAAUGCGUAGAGAUCUGGAGGAAUACCGAUGGCGAAGGCAGCCAUCUGGCCUAAUACUGACACUGAGGUACGAAAGCAUGGGGAGCAAACAGGAUUAGAUACCCUGGUAGUCCAUGCCGUAAACGAUGUCUACUAGCCGUUGGGGUCUUUGAGACUUUAGUGGCGCAGCUAACGCGAUAAGUAGACCGCCUGGGGAGUACGGUCGCAAGACUAAAACUCAAAUGAAUUGACGGGGGCCCGCACAAGCGGUGGAGCAUGUGGUUUAAUUCGAUGCAACGCGAAGAACCUUACCUGGUCUUGACAUAGUAAGAACUUUCCAGAGAUGGAUUGGUGCCUUCGGGAGCUUACAUACAGGUGCUGCAUGGCUGUCGUCAGCUCGUGUCGUGAGAUGUUGGGUUAAGUCCCGCAACGAGCGCAACCCUUUUCCUUAUUUGCCAGCGGGUUAAGCCGGGAACUUUAAGGAUACUGCCAGUGACAAACUGGAGGAAGGCGGGGACGACGUCAAGUCAUCAUGGCCCUUACGACCAGGGCUAC
rnacentral:rRNA from 1 species